rfam:Stenodus leucichthys SINE SmaI-cor DNA, locus name Ste216.
UGUGCACAGGACUGUAAGUCGCUUUGGAUAAAAGCGUCUGCUAAAUGGCAUAUU